GAUGAACGCUGGCGGUGUGCCUAAUACAUGCAAGUCGAGCGAACAGACGAGGAGCUUACUCCUCUGACGUUAGCGGCGGACGGGUGAGUAACACGUGGAUAACCUACCUAUAAGACUGGGAUAACUUCGGGAAACCGGAGCUAAUACCGGCUAACAUGUUGAACCGCAUGGUUCAACAGUGAAAGACGGUCUUGCUGUCACUUAUAGAUGGAUCCGCGUCGGAUUAGCUAGUUGGUAAGGUAACGGCUUACCAAGGCAACGAUGCGUAGCCGACCUGAGAGGGCGACCGGCCACACUGGAACUGAGACACGGCCCAGACUCCUACGGGAGGCAGCAGUAGGGAAUCUUCCGCAAUGGGCGAAAGCCUGACGGAGCAAUGCCGCGUGAGUGAUGAAGGUCUUCGGAUCGUAAAACUCUGUUAUUAGGGAAGAACAAAUGUGUAAGUAACUAUGCACGUCUUGACGGUACCUAAUCAGAAAGCCACGGCUAACUACGUG
rnacentral:rRNA from 1 species